UUUUUUUUGCAAAAAUGCAAUUUAUUGUUAGAUAUUUAAUUUUUUUUUUGUAAAAAAGAAAGCCCAUGAGCUAGCCCUGACCCACAGGGCUUUGGAGCUUUUUAGUCCUGGGGGCUUUUUUAAUAAAGGGCUUUUUUGGCCCUGUGGGCUUUUUUGACCCACAUGGGCUAGGGCCAGGGCCUAUUAUAGGGGCCUAUUUGACAGGUCUAGCCGGCAUUCUAUAGAGUUCUCGCCACUUUGCUUAUAGCAUAAUCACCACAUUUGCAACGAGGGAUUGUCCCACCUCCCCUCCAACCACCAUCUUUUGAGGAUUGUGAAUUUCUUUCCCACCCCGUUUAGGAACAAGAAGGACAACCUUGGGAAGAAGCCAUUUCUAUCAACCCACAACCACUAUUCUGAAAAAAGGGAAGAACUUGCACGAACCCUAACCACCCAUUUAAUUAGACACAAAAACCUCAAAUUUAAAC
rnacentral:lncRNA from 1 species